rnacentral:lncRNA from 1 species
UUUGGUCUCUUGCUUUUUAACCUGUUUUUCAGGAUUAUCAUCUGUCUAUGGGUCUCAGGCCUGGGACCUGUAACAGAUUUUUGGAGGCACCGCUGGGAUCAGCAUUAAGCUGGUGAUGCUGGUCCAUAAAUCAACGAACCCUAAGACGAGUGUUGGCGGAGAGUGUGAUCGAGUGUAUGUUGGCGAAUCCCAGGGCUGGUGAAGUUCAAGGCAAUGUGUAAGCAGUGACAGUGAGCAUCGAAGGGUGUGCAACAUGGCGAGCGAGGACAAGGAGAGAAAAGGACUGGUUUGGAAGAUUCGGAAGGGACUGCACACCUUGACGUCUGAUGAACUCUUUCAAAUCACCAGGACCAUCACAGAGGUACCUGAAUUGGAACACAUGACAGUAGAAAGAGAUGACGAAGAAGGGUGCAUCGACUACAUCUGUACCUAUAUGCAGUGUGAUACUUUGCUUGACUUAGAGGACAAGGGGUUUUCACAUCUGUUAAUGUUGAAAGAUGCUGUAGAUGACCUUGUUCAGUGCCGAAUAGCUACUGUGGUGAGUCCACCAGUGGGUUCAGAGGUUAUAGUUGAUGUUCCAGAGCAGACCCCAUCUCACAGAGUUCAAAUUAGCCACACACCACCACAUGCACAUGCAAAAGUAGAACAUGCCACCAGUGAUUGGUUUCCAGCAACAGCCACUAGUCCCAACACUCACACAUCAGAAUACCAGCAGUUGUUGACGAGCUAUGAAGAAUUAGGUAGGAAGUUAGCUACAUACAAAGUGUCAUCUGGCAGUCCUGAACUGAGCAGACAGUCAUACACAGGGCAACAUGAUAGUACACCUCCUACCGUGAUGAAGGCACAUUCUUCACUCCACAAACCUGAAGCAGUAGUUUCAGUUAGAGAUCUGUCAUUCCUACAACGUAGAGAGUUUAAAAUUCAUGGGGGUCAGGUAGGUGACACCACCUCUGACAUUAGCUACAGCAGUUUGUCCAAACAAAUUGAUGAAGGCCUUAAAGCAAACCACACUGAAAUUGAGAUCAUCCAAGGUGUGCUUCGUGUCAUAAAACCAGGACAGUUCAAAGACAUGCUGAUUAAUAAAGCUGAUUUGACCGUGGCAGAGAUUAAGAGUUUUCUCCAAUCACACCUGGGUGAAAAAAGCAGUACUGAGCUUUUCCAAGAGCUCAUGAGCACCAGGCAAUAUG